rnacentral:rRNA from 1 species
GGGUUGUGAGGUUAAGCGACUAAGCGUACACGGUGGAUGCCCUGGCAGUCAGAGGCGAUGAAGGACGUGCUAAUCUGCGAAAAGCGUCGGUAAGGUGAUAUGAACCGUUAUAACCGGCGAUGUCCGAAUGGGGAAACCCAGUGCAAUUCGUUGCACUAUCGUUAACUGAAUACAUAGGUUAACGAGGCGAACCGGGGGAACUGAAACAUCUAAGUACCCCGAGGAAAAGAAAUCAACCGAGAUUCCCCCAGUAGCGGCGAGCGAACGGGGAGCAGCCCAGAGUCUGAAUCAGCUUGUGUGUUAGUGGAACGGUCUGGAAAGUCCGACGGUACAGGGUGAUAGUCCCGUACACCAAAAUGCACAGGCUGUGAACUCGAAGAGUAGGGCGGGACACGUGGUAUCCUGUCUGAAUAUGGGGGGACCAUCCUCCAAGGCUAAAUACUCCUGACUGACCGAUAGUGAACCAGUACCGUGAGGGAAAGGCGAAAAGAACCCCGGCGAGGGGAGUGAAAAAGAACCUGAAACCGUGUACGUACAAGCAGUGGGAGCACCUUCGGGUGUGACUGCGUACCUUUUGUAUAAUGGGUCAGCGACUUAUAUUCUGUAGCAAGGUUAACCGUAUAGGGGAGCCGCAGGGAAACCGAGUCUUAACUGGGCGUUAAGUUGCAGGGUAUAGACCCGAAACCCGGUGAUCUAGCCAUGGGCAGGUUGAAGGUUGGGUAACACUAACUGGAGGACCGAACCGACUAAUGUUGAAAAAUUAGCGGAUGACUUGUGGCUGGGGGUGAAAGGCCAAUCAAACCGGGAGAUAGCUGGUUCUCCCCGAAAGCUAUUUAGGUAGCGCCUCGUGAACUCAUCUUCGGGGGUAGAGCACUGUUUCGGCUAGGGGGUCAUCCCGACUUACCAACCCGAUGCAAACUACGAAUACCGAAGAAUGUUAUCACGGGAGACACACGGCGGGUGCUAACGUCCGUCGUGAAGAGGGAAACAACCCAGACCGCCAGCUAAGGUCCCAAAGUCAUGGUUAAGUGGGAAACGAUGUGGGAAGGCACAGACAGCCAGGAUGUUGGCUUAGAAGCAGCCAUCAUUUAAAGAAAGCGUAAUAGCUCACUGGUCGAGUCGGCCUGCGCGGAAGAUGUAACGGGGCUAAACCAUGCACCGAAGCUGCGGCAGCGACACGAUGUGUUGUUGGGUAGGGGAGCGUUCUGUAAGCCUGCGAAGGUGACCUGUGAGGGUUGCUGGAGGUAUCAGAAGUGCGAAUGCUGACAUAAGUAACGAUAAAGCGGGUGAAAAGCCCGCUCGCCGGAAGACCAAGGGUUCCUGUCCAACGUUAAUCGGGGCAGGGUGAGUCGACCCCUAAGGCGAGGCCGAAAGGCGUAGUCGAUGGGAAACAGGUUAAUAUUCCUGUACUUGGUGUUACUGCGAAGGGGGGACGGAGAAGGCUAUGUUAGCCGGGCGACGGUUGUCCCGGUUUAAGCAUGUAGGCUGGUUGUCCAGGCAAAUCCGGAUAAUCAAGGCUGAGGUGUGAUGACGAGGCACUACGGUGCUGAAGUAACAAAUGCCCUGCUUCCAGGAAAAGCCUCUAAGCAUCAGGUAACAUUAAAUCGUACCCCAAACCGACACAGGUGGUCAGGUAGAGAAUACCAAGGCGCUUGAGAGAACUCGGGUGAAGGAACUAGGCAAAAUGGUGCCGUAACUUCGGGAGAAGGCACGCUGGUGUGUAGGUGAAGCCCCUGCGGGUGGAGCUGAGACCAGUCGAAGAUACCAGCUGGCUGCAACUGUUUAUUAAAAACACAGCACUGUGCAAACACGAAAGUGGACGUAUACGGUGUGACGCCUGCCCGGUGCCGGAAGGUUAAUUGAUGGGGUUAUCCGUAAGGAGAAGCUCUUGAUCGAAGCCCCGGUAAACGGCGGCCGUAACUAUAACGGUCCUAAGGUAGCGAAAUUCCUUGUCGGGUAAGUUCCGACCUGCACGAAUGGCGUAAUGAUGGCCAGGCUGUCUCCACCCGAGACUCAGUGAAAUUGAACUCGCUGUGAAGAUGCAGUGUACCCGCGGCAAGACGGAAAGACCCCGUGAACCUUUACUAUAGCUUGACACUGAACAUUGAGCCUUGAUGUGUAGGAUAGGUGGGAGGCUUUGAAGCGUGGACGCCAGUCUGCGUGGAGCCAACCUUGAAAUACCACCCUUUAAUGUUUGAUGUUCUAACGUUGGCCCCUGACCGGGGUUGCGGACAGUGUCUGGUGGGUAGUUUGACUGGGGCGGUCUCCUCCCAAAGCGUAACGGAGGAGCACGAAGGUUAGCUAAUCCUGGUCGGACAUCAGGAGGUUAGUGCAAUGGCAUAAGCUAGCUUGACUGCGAGCGUGACGGCGCGAGCAGGUGCGAAAGCAGGUCAUAGUGAUCCGGUGGUUCUGAAUGGAAGGGCCAUCGCUCAACGGAUAAAAGGUACUCCGGGGAUAACAGGCUGAUACCGCCCAAGAGUUCAUAUCGACGGCGGUGUUUGGCACCUCGAUGUCGGCUCAUCACAUCCUGGGGCUGAAGUAGGUCCCAAGGGUAUGGCUGUUCGCCAUUUAAAGUGGUACGCGAGCUGGGUUUAGAACGUCGUGAGACAGUUCGGUCCCUAUCUGCCGUGGGCGCUGGAGAAUUGAGGGGGGCUGCUCCUAGUACGAGAGGACCGGAGUGGACGCAUCACUGGUGUUCGGGUUGUCAUGCCAAUGGCACUGCCCGGUAGCUAAAUGCGGAAGAGAUAAGUGCUGAAAGCAUCUAAGCACGAAACUUGCCCCGAGAUGAGUUCUCCCUGAGACUUUAAGUCUCCUGAAGGAACGUUAAAGACGAUGACGUUGAUAGGCCGGGUGUGUAAGCGCAGCGAUGCGUUGAGCUAACCGGUACUAAUGAACCGUGAGGCUUAACCUUACAACGCCGAAG